GUAGAGGCCGGUAGUGUACCGAAGGAGGCGCCGGGCAUGGCGGGGAGCCGGCUGGAGAGGGUGGGGAGCGUCUUCACGCGAACACGGGACCUGCUUCGGGCUGGGGUGUUGAAAAAGAAGCCCGUGUGGUAUGACAUAUAUAAGGCCUUUCCACCGCUGAGAGAGCCGGUCUUCCGAAGACCCCGCUUGCGAUAUGGCAAAGCCAAAACUCCCAUCCAGGACAUCUUUUACCACGAGGAUCGGAUUAGAGCGAAAUUUUAUUCUGCCUAUGGAUCUGGUCAAAAAGCUUUUGAUAUGUUCAAUCCAAACUUCAAGUCUGUCUGUCAACGGUUUGUGGAGAAGUACAUUGAGCUGCAGAAUCUUGGCGAAACAGAUGAAGAGAAGUUAUUUAUGGAAACAGGGAAGGCUUUAUUGGCAGAAGGUGUCAUUUUAAGACGAGUAGGAGAAGCAAGGACUGUGAAUGUCAGACCUCAAACUGCAUUGGUAGAAAACGAGUCUCAGGAAGAAGUUGCAUUGGACCAGCAUUCGGAGGCACCUGGAGAGCAGUCGAAAGCAUGUAAGAACAAAAAUUUUUCCAUGCCCAUGGAAUGGAGAAUACAAUAUUCAGGGGCUGCGUGCUACCCGUGUUCUGGACCUGAAGGCUGCGUCACUCUCAAGACAAAGGUCACAGAAUGAGUUCAUGGAGAUAAAAUCUAGGAAGCUGCCUGUCAGGCCUUCAGAAAAUGUUCUUAGCAACUGGACCAUUGGGACUGAGUGAUUUAUUCAAAUCAUCAUUAAAUAAGGCAGUGGCUCUCAGCCAAUCAACGAGACCUAUGCACAUAUGAGAGGGAGAGAGAAAUGGUCAGAGCAUCCUAGGACAUCAGCACUUUAGAAAAAUAAUGUUUAUCCAACACCUACCAGAUGCGUAAACCAGCCAGGAGCCGGCCUUAUCAACAAGGUUGCACAGCUGCUUGGUGGCAGGACCCAUGCACCUGACACUGCAGGUGAUUCUCAGGCAACUCUCUUCCCACCCAAGCCUGCCUUUGAAGACCCAGGGCACUUCUGUGAACAGCAGACCUUAGCAAGCACGAUUAAAGACAGGUCUGUUGAAAAACUGAUGAUUGCAUUUUAAGAUAGAUAAAUCCAACUUUAGGUGUUUCUCAACACUUAUUUGUACGGUCCUCAAGUGGUUAUUUCUUUUGUUCUUUAUUUCCCAGGGCCUUACACAUACUAGCAAGCGCUCUACCACUUGAGCUGUACCCCCAGCCCUUUAUUUAUUUAUUUAUUGUCCAGACUAGUCUUAAACUUGCUUUGUAACCCAGGCUAGCCUAGAACUUACAAUCCUCUUAUUUUAUUUUAUUAUUUGCUGCUGCCUUGCCUGGGCUGGCUUCCGUCUCAUGACCCUUCUGCUUUUGCCUCUCAAGUACUUGGAAUUAUAGACAUGUACACGCCUGGCUCCAAGUGGUUCUUUCUUUCUUUCUUUCUUUCUUUUUGGUGGUAUUGGGGU